rnacentral:rRNA from 1 species
AUUGAACGCUGGCGGCAGGCCUAACACAUGCAAGUCGAGCGGAUGAGGGGAGCUUGCUCCCUGAUUUAGCGGCGGACGGGUGAGUAAUGCCUAGGAAUCUGCCUGGUAGUGGGGGAUAACGUUCCGAAAGGAACGCUAAUACCGCAUACGUCAUACGGGAGAAAGCAGGGGACCUUCGGGCCUUGCGCUAUCAGAUGAGCCUAGGUCGGAUUAGCUAGUUGGUGAGGUAAUGGCUCACCAAGGCGACGAUCCGUAACUGGUCUGAGAGGAUGAUCAGUCACACUGGAACUGAGACACGGUCCAGACUCCUACGGGAGGCAGCAGUGGGGAAUAUUGGACAAUGGGCGAAAGCCUGAUCCAGCCAUGCCGCGUGUGUGAAGAAGGUCUUCGGAUUGUAAAGCACUUUAAGUUGGGAGGAAGGGCUGCUGGUUAAUACCCUGCAGUUUUGACGUUACCAACAGAAUAAGCACCGGCUAACUUCGUG